rnacentral:rRNA from 1 species
UACAGAGGGUGCGAGCGUUAAUCGGAAUUACUGGGCGUAAAGGGCGCGUAGGCGGUCAUGUAAGUUAGAUGUGAAAUCCCUGGGCUUAACCUAGGAACUGCAUCUAAUACUGUGUGACUGGAGUGCGGUAGAGGGUAGUGGAAUUUCCGGUGUAGCGGUGAAAUGCGUAGAUAUCGGAAGGAACACCAGUGGCGAAGGCGGCUACCUGGACUGACACUGACGCUGAGGCGCGAGAGCGUGGGGAGCAAAC